rnacentral:rRNA from 1 species
AUAGCGUAUAUUAAAGUUGUUGCAGUUAAAAAGCUCGUAGUUGAAUAUCUGGCCGGUGCUGUUCUUGGCUCCCUGAGUCGGUUCAGCGCCUGGUUAUCCGUAUGGGAAACCAGCUCGACCUUCACUGUGUCGGCUGGCGGAUCAUACACUUUACUUUGAAAAAAUUAGAGUGUUUCAGGCAGGCAAUUGCUUGGAUACUGUAGCAUGGAAUAAUGGAAUAGGACUUUGACCUAUUUGUUGGUUUCUCGAGGUCAAAGUAAUGAUUAAUAGGGACAGUUGGGGGCAUUCGUAUUUAAUUGUCAGAGGUGAAAUUCUUGGAUUUUUUAAAGACGAACUUAUG